rnacentral:lncRNA from 1 species
UUAUAGCAGUGGGACCAUGAGGCCGCCCUGCUGUGAAUUCGUUUCCAGUCCAGCCAGCUCAGACAACACUCAGAUGGAUUAACGGACCUUGCUAGACUCCGACUGCCUCGCCUCGCCUCACUGAGCACAGCCCCAGGCUUCAGUGGCUGCACGUGCUUCUCCUUGGGCAUCACACACCACCUGGUAGGCAUGAGAUGUGUCAAUCACUGUUGGCAGGAAAGCCUGGGGAGCAGUGUUUUGGUCCUACCUAUUACUUCAAUGUAAGCUGAAUUUCUCUCACUUCUUAUUUUUUAAGGGAGCAAGUUUCACAUUUUUUUGUAGAACUGGCAUAACUCAAAUAGUGAAGUCCGUGGGGAAACAAAGCAACCACAACUCAAGAUAAUCCACUUGCACGAGAGGCUUCGGAUGGUGGUUUUGAUUUAACAAGUAGUGGUGGGAUAAUUGUGAGAACAUGCUGCUGGGAAAGAGCACCUGGUCUGGUCAGCCUGAUGUAGGGUGAGAUGCAUCAUUAACCCUUGUGUGAAGUCCAUGACCCUUGUCAAUGUUAGGUACAAAAUCCCAGGUUGGUGGGAUUUGGUGGUGCAACUUUUGAGAGCUCCAAAUGGUUUAAUGAAGUUAAAAAAAAGAGAGAGGUGAGGGAGAAACAAAGAGUCCUCCCCACCUUCCCUGAGUAAUGAGCCUCUUGGAUGAAAGACUACCUUGUAAAGGUUUUUCUCUCCAUUCUCCACUUCCUGCUGCCCAGAUCUGGACGGGGGAGCUCCCAAAUGGGGUAGCAGCUCCGCAUUUCUAAUCCGAGCCCAGAUGGAUCUCCUGCCGUGCAUAUGCGUUGUUGAGCAAACUGGUAAACUAACCUGAGAGUCUUGCCUGAAUGAUGAGCUGCACGUAUCAGCUUGAGCAGAACAUUAGCAAGAGCUGGCGUAGGCCUCCAACCUCACCGAGUUUCCUCUCUCUCCUGCCAGUGGACAUGACAGCUCAGGAUAAGGUGACUGGGAGACCACGGGAGCAAAUGUGACACAAGGCAGAAGGCUGUCUUGAGACCUUCCAGCUGGUUUGCAUUUCCUCAUGGGAUAGGAGCCUUCUCCUGCAGGCUGGGAAGGCAGUGGGACCACCAUACGAUUUUAUGGAUCAGUUUUCACUUUUCCAGAUGCAAAGAGAGGAGCCGUAAUUACCUUGCGUACGUUUUGAUAACAUCCCUUGGGCAAGAGGGUUCUGGGGGAGAUUUAUGCCCAUGGAUGGAAUUUGCAGUUCCCAUCAUGCUGGAAAUGCUGAGAUGCAAUUUUGAAACUGGACAAGCACUUGAGGAACACCUGGACAAUGCACUCAGUUGUGCAGGAUGGCUUGAAAUUCAUUACAUCUAG